CAGGGCCUCAUCUCAUCCCAGGAAUACAGGAACACUGCUCGUACGCUCUUAGGAAGGCAAAAUCCUCAAGAUACCACUAAGAACAGCUCCCGUUGACCAUAGUGGGAGAUCAAAGAGAUGUCACCGGGGCUGUAAGAGGACGGCUGAGGGCAGUCCAACCAAUCGGCGGCCAGAGGUCGGGGGUAUCCUUCUUCAGGGGCUGAGCCUGGAACCGCUCGCAGUGGAGGCAGUGAAGAAGGAAGAGCCGACCAAAGUCUCUGUACAGGAACAGCCCUGACUGACACGAGACCACCUCUGCUCACUCUCCACAUGUUCUGCCCUGCAAAAUGUGUGAGGGUGAACUCCACCUGCCCUGUCUGGGUCUGAUGGAAAGAAGGCAUGGCCAACAGAUCCACCUGCUCCAUCAAAGGGAUAUC